AAUUAGUAUAAACGGGCAAGAAGCGGAUGACUAGGAUAUUAUAAUAUAAAUUGGGACGUAAUAAAUACGAAAAGUCGGUAGAGAGAAGAUGAGGCCGGAUUUCCCAUAAGGAAACAAUAAAGAUUAUUUUUUUAACCUUAGGAAUUGAAACAUCUAAGUACUAAGAGGAAACAAAUCAAGCGAGAUUCUGUAAGUAGCGGUGAGCGAAAGUGGAGAUAAAUUUAAAUCCAAAAUAAUCGAAAUCCAAAGAGGGUAACAGUCCUGUCGGUUAUUUUUGGGGUUUAAUCUAAAUUAAACUUUAAAGUUGAUAGGUCUAGAGUAGAAUUGUUUGAAGAUAGGUGUUCCAUACAUCUAAAAAUAAAUAUUAUAAUAUACCGAUAGAAAACAAGUACUGUGAAGGAAAGUUGAAAGAGAGGAGCAGAAUAGGGCUAGUGAAAUAGAUUCUGAAAUUUGUUGCUUAUAAGCAGACAGUAUUGUCGUACCUUUUGCAUAAUGGGUUUACAAGAUAAAUAUUUGGCAAACUUAAAUUAAUAGGUGUAGGUGUAGUGAAAACGAGUUUUAAAUAAAGGUUUGAAUUAAAAAAUUAUUUUUUUUUUUAAUUCAAAAGUUGAGAGCAUUAGUCAAAUAGAACCCGAAACCAAGUGAUCUAACUAUGGACAGUUUGAAACUCUUUUAAACGGGGGUGGAGGAACGAACUGGUGAUUGUGGCAAAAAUCUCAGAUGAUCUGUGGUUAGGGGUGAAAAGCUAAUCGAACUUGGAAAUAGCUGGUUUUCUGCGAAAACUAUUGAAGUAGUGUGUCAUUGAUUAGAUUUAAUUUAGACUUAAGUUUAAUAAUAAAAUCGUAUAUUUUUGCAUGGUAAAGCACUGAAUGAAGAUAUCUAUAGGGUGUAUUCAAUCAAACUAUGAAAGUGUAAGAAGAAAAAAUGAUAAACAGACAGUAGGCGAUAAGGUCUAUUGUCAAAAGGGAAACAACCUGAAUCAGAAGUUAAAGUCAUUAAAAUUGUUUUUGAUCUAAGUGUAAAAGGGGUUAUUUUAAUUGAGACAAUAAGAAAGUAGGCUUGGAACCAGCCAUCUUUGAAAGAUUACGUAAUAGUUCACUUAAUAAAUUAAAAAGUCCCUAAAAUUAUGGUGGCUUAAGUCGUUUUUUGAUUAAGGUAUAAUCAAAAUAUAAUAAAAAUACUGAAACUCUGAAUAAAAAGUAAAUAUAUUAUGGUAGCAGAACGUUCUGUAAUUAAAAGGGGGUUAUAAUUAAUUGUAACUUUCUUCCAUGGAAUAGAUAAUUUCAUAAUGGAUAGCGGUAGCGUAUCAGAAGUGAUAAUGUGAGCAUGAGUAAAAAACAGUGUGAGGAUCACUGCUCAUGGCCCAAGGUUUCCAAAAACAGGAUUAUCCGAAUUGGGUUAAACAGUCCCUAAGAAAAUUUAAUGGGUAUUAAAUAAAAAUAUAUUAAAGAAAUUAUUAUUAUUUGGAAAAUAAUUUUAAUUUUCAAUCAAAUAAAUAAUGGGCUGUACUAGAACUAACACAAGGGGGCAAAAAGUGAUGGUAGAAUUUAUCUUAAGGAACUCGGCAAAAUAACUCUGUAAGUUCGCAAGAAAGAGUGCCACUUAGGAAGUAGUCGCAGAAAAUUAGGGGGUCCUUGUUAUUGUGGCUUAAUUUAGUGGUCUCAGAAAAGAGAGAGUAUCGACUGUAUACCAAAAACAUAGCGUCCAGCAAAGGGCCUAAGGCCUGAAGUAUUGGAGGUGAGGCCUGCCCAGUGGUUGUAUCUAAACUUCAAAUGAUAGAAUAAGUUAUUUGACUAAGGACAAUUAAAUGGCCGCGGUAAAUCUGACCGUGAUAAAGUAGCGCAAUCAAUAGCCAAUUAAUUGUUGGCAAGUAUGAAUGGCGUAACGAAUGCUCUACUGUCUCAAGAUAAAUACCAAUGAAAUUGAAAUCGUAGUGAAGAUGCUACGUUCAAAUUGUAAGACGAGAAGACCCCAUUGAGCUUUACUGGAGACUUAAAUGGUUUUUUUAUAAUUAAUGUGUAGAUUAUGUGGGUUUGAUAGUUUUAAAGCUGUUGUAGAUGAAAAACCACUCUUUAAUUGAAAAAAGAACUAAUUAAUAUAUUUUGAUUUUUAAUCAAAUUUGGGAAAAGUUUAAGUUAGACAGUUUGGUUGGGGCGAUCGCCUUCUAAAAAGUAACGAAGGUGAACAUAAGGUAAAUAGUAAAUAGUAUAAGGUAAAGCCUGACAGUGAGAAUGACUUUCAAACUGACACAGAAUAGAUUCGCAGAAGAAAUUUAGUUUGUGGGUUAUAAUGACCCGUUAAUUAAGAGUGGGAUUGUUAACGAACAACGAAUAAAAGUUACCAUGGGGAUAACAGCGUAAUAUCGUUUGAGAGUCCAUAUCGACGACGAUGUUUGCGACCUCGAUGUUGAAUUGCGAUAUCCUGGAGGUGCAGCCGCUUCCAAGGGUUGGACUGUUCGUCCAUUAAAAUCGUACAUGAUUUGAGUUCAGACCGGCGUGAGCCAGGUCGGUUUCUAUCUACAAUUUGUUUAGGAAACAUGAGAUAUAACUACGUUUUAGUACGAAAGGAAUGAAUGGUAGCUAUCCGCUGGUGGGCCAAUUGUUUUGUAUUUUAACCCUCUAAAAUUGGAGGGAAUGAACUGUUGGGUAGCUACGAUAGAAUUAU
rnacentral:rRNA from 1 species